GACGAACGCUGGCGGCGUGCUUAACACAUGCAAGUCGAACGGAAAGGCCCUGCUUUCAUGGGAUGCUCGAGUGGCGCACGGGUGUGUCACGCGUGUGUAAUCUGCCCUACACUUGGGUAUGCUUGCGGGAAACUGGGUCUAAUACCGGAUAGGCCCUCCUUUUGGAUGGUGUGGGAAAGAUUUUUUGGUGUAGGGUGGGUUCGCGGCCGAUCAGGGUGUUUGUGGGGUAAUGGGCUACCAAGGCGGCGACGGGUUGGCGGCCUGAGAGGGUGUACGGCCACAUUGGGACUGAGAUACGGCCCAGACUCCGACGGGAGGCAGCAGUGGGGAAUAUUGCACAAUGGGCGCAAGCCUGAUGCAGCGACGCCGCGUGGGGGAUGAAGGCCUUCGGGUUGUAAACUCCUUUCGCUAGGGACGAAGCGUUGUUGUGACGGUACCUGGAGAAGAAGCACCGGCUAACUACGUG
rnacentral:rRNA from 1 species